rnacentral:rRNA from 1 species
UACGGGGGGGGCAAGCGUUGUUCGGAAUUACUGGGCGUAAAGGGCUCGUAGGCGGCCAACUAAGUCAGACGUGAAAUCCCUCGGCUUAACCGGGGAACUGCGUCUGAUACUGGAUGGCUUGAGGUUGGGAGAGGGAUGCGGAAUUCCAGGUGUAGCGGUGAAAUGCGUAGAUAUUCGCAAGAACACCAGUGGCGAAGGCGGCUCACUGGCCCGAUACUGACGCUGAGGCACGAAAGCGUGGGGAGCAAACAGG